GAUGAACGCUGGCGGCGUGCUUAACACAUGCAAGUCGAACGAUGAAGCCCAGCUUGCUGGGUGGAUUAGUGGCGAACGGGUGAGUAACACGUGAGUAACCUGCCCUUAACUCUGGGAUAAGCCUGGGAAACUGGGUCUAAUACCGGAUAGGAGCGUCCACCGCAUGGUGGGUGUUGGAAAGAUUUAUCGGUUUUGGAUGGACUCGCGGCCUAUCAGCUUGUUGGUGAGGUAAUGGCUCACCAAGGCGACGACGGGUAGCCGGCCUGAGAGGGUGACCGGCCACACUGGGACUGAGACACGGCCCAGCCUCCUACGGGAGGCAGCAGUGGGGAAUAUUGCACAAUGGGCGCAAGCCUGAUGCAGCGACGCCGCGUGAGGGAUGACGGCCUUCGGGUUGUAAACCUCUUUCAGUAGGGAAGAAGCGAAAGUGACGGUACCUGCAGAAGAAGCACCGGCUAACUACGUG
rnacentral:rRNA from 1 species